rnacentral:sRNA from 1 species
CGUGCACUAUGGCUCGGGGCUCGCUGCGCCGGUUGCUGCGGCUCCUCGUGCUGGGGCUCUGGCUGGCGUUGCUGCGCUCCGUGGCCGGGGAGCAAGCGCCAGGUACGCGGGACUCCGGGGUCGGGGAACCCCGGGCCGGGGCUCGGGAGCCGGACUGGGUGUCUGGAGAACAGCGCCGAACUGGGGGAACAGGCGGAUGUGGGGAUCUGGGGUCAGGUGGCCUUCAAACAGCUCGCUCCCGGCUGUGGGAAGUUCCAUCACUCUCCAAGCUUCAUUCACAAUCCGGGCCUCAGUUUCUCCCACCGUCCAAUUGGGGUUGGAGGGGUCUUCAGUUCCAAAAGUCCGAAGUACUUCGAAUGCAGAGAGAAAGUGAGUGAGGGCGGGAUGUUUAGUCUAGGAAGGGGCACGCCCCCAGCCUGGUCCGUACAGGGUCUAACUAGCCCCAGUGAUCGAUGAGUUGGGGAGGCCGUCGAGAGGCACUAGGGUCUGUGCCCUCUAUACCAUGUGGGGUGCCCCCUUCCAUCCGGUGACUUCAGUGCCCAGCUAUGCGGGGGGAGGGACUGGGGUCGGGCCCGGUGCCCAGGAGUGAGUCACCCGCCGGCGGCAGGGGGGUUGUGGGGACCUGACCCCCCCACCCCCAGCGUCCCGCGCUACGCCCUCCCUCCCGGAGCUGCCGUGUCCCGGUCGGGCCGUGCGGUCACCUGUGAGGAAUGCGCGGGGAGGGCGCCAGUGACUCACGUUAUUCGAGCCGGCCGACCCUGACCUCAGACCCCAGAAUAGCCGAGUCCCGCCCCCAGCCUCUGACCCGAGGCCCCCUCCCCAGGCACCGCCCCCUGCUCCCGCGGCAGCUCCUGGAGCGCGGACCUGGACAAGUGCAUGGACUGCGCGUCUUGCAGGGCGCGACCGCACAGCGACUUCUGCCUGGGCUGCGCUGCAGCACCUCCUGCCCCCUUCCGGCUGCUUUGGCCCAUCCUUGGGGGCGCUCUGAGCCUGACCUUCGUGCUGGGGCUGCUUUCUGGCUUUUUGGUCUGGAGACGAUGCCGCAGGAGAGAGAAGUUCACCACCCCCAUAGAGGAGACCGGCGGAGAGGGCUGCCCAGCUGUGGCGCUGAUCCAGUGACAAUGUGCCCCCUGCCAGCCGGGGCUCGCCCACUCAUCAUUCAUUCAUCCAUUCUAGAGCCAGUCUCUGCCUCCCAGACGCGGCGGGAGCCAAGCUCCUCCAACCACAAGGGGGGUGGGGGGCGGUGAAUCACCUCUGAGGCCUGGGCCCAGGGUUCAGGGGAACCUUCCAAGGUGUCUGGUUGCCCUGCCUCUGGCUCCAGAACAGAAAGGGAGCCUCACGCUGGCUCACACAAAACAGCUGACACUGACUAAGGAACUGCAGCAUUUGCACAGGGGAGGGGGGUGCCCUCCUUCCUAGAGGCCCUGGGGGCCAGGCUGACUUGGGGGGCAGACUUGACACUAGGCCCCACUCACUCAGAUGUCCUGAAAUUCCACCACGGGGGUCACCCUGGGGGGUUAGGGACCUAUUUUUAACACUAGGGGGCUGGCCCACUAGGAGGGCUGGCCCUAAGAUACAGACCCCCCCAACUCCCCAAAGCGGGGAGGAGAUAUUUAUUUUGGGGAGAGUUUGGAGGGGAGGGAGAAUUUAUUAAUAAAAGAAUCUUUAACUUUAAA